AACGAACGCUGGCGGCGUGGAUUAGGCAUGCAAGUCGAGCGAGAAAGGGGUAGCAAUAUCCUGAGUAAAGCGGCGAACUGGUGAGUAACAGGUGGGCAACGUGCCCCGAAGUUGGGGAUAACUCCGAGAAAUCGGAGCUAAUACCGAAUGUGGCCGUUUGGACUUUGGUUCGAACGGUUAAAGACGUAAUUCGCUUCGGGAUCGGCCCGCCCGGAUAGCUAGUUGGCGAGGUAACGGCUCACCAAGGCGACGAUCCGUAGCUGGUCUGAGAGGAUGG
rnacentral:rRNA from 1 species